CAUGUAGGCGGUUUCGUAAGCCUGGUGUGAAAUCCUGCAGCUUAACUGUAGAAUGGCAUUGGGUACUGCGAGACUUGAAUCACGGAGGGGAAACUAGAAUUCCAGGUGUAGGGGUGGAAUCUGUAGAUAUCUGGAAGAAUACCGGUGGCGAAGGCGGGUUUCUAGCCGAUGAUUGACGCUGAGGUGCGAAAGUGCGGGGAGCAAACA
rnacentral:rRNA from 1 species